CCUACGGGAGGCUGCAGUGAGGAAUAUUGGUCAAUGGACGAGAGUCUGAACCAGCCAAGUAGCGUGAAGGAUGACUGCCCUAUGGGUUGUAAACUUCUUUUAUAUGGGAAUAAAAUGUUCCACGUGUGGGAUUUUGUAUGUACCAUAUGAAUAAGGAUCGGCUAACUCCGUGCCAGCAGCCGCGGUAAUACGGAGGAUCCGAGCGUUAUCCGGAUUUAUUGGGUUUAAAGGGAGCGUAGGUGGAUUGUUAAGUCAGUUGUGAAAGUUUGCGGCUCAACCGUAAAAUUGCAGUUGAAACUGGCAGUCUUGAGUACAGUAGAGGUGGGCGGAAUUCGUGGUGUAGCGGUGAAAGGCUUAGAUAUCACGAAGAACUCCGAUUGCGAAGGCAGCUCACUGGACUGCAACUGACACUGAGGCUCGAAAGUGUGGGUAUCAAACAGGAUUAGAUACCCUUGUAGUC
rnacentral:rRNA from 1 species